rnacentral:rRNA from 1 species
AGAUUGAAUGCUGGCGGCAUGCUUUACACAUGCAAGUCGAACGGUAACAGGCCGCAAGGUGCUGACGAGUGGCGAACGGGUGAGUAAUGCAUCGGAACGUGCCCAGUCGUGGGGGAUAACGCAGCGAAAGCUGUGCUAAUACCGCAUACGAUCUAUGGAUGAAAGCGGGGGACCGAAAGGCCUCGCGCGAUUGGAGCGGCCGAUGUACAGAUUAGCUAGGUUGGUAGGGGUAAAGCCCGACCAAGGCGACGAUACGUGUAGCUGGUCGUGAGACGGACGACCAGCCACACGUGGAACUGAGACACGGUCCAGACUCCGUACGGGAGCAGCGAGGU